CAGCUAAGGCCCCUAAGUGUGCGCUAAGUGGGAAAGGAUGUGAGAUCGCGGUGACAACCAGGAGGUUGGCUUAGAAGCAGCCAUCCUUGAAAGAGUGCGUAAUAGCUCACUGGUCAAGUGGUUUCGCGCCGACAAUGUAGCGGGGCUUAAGCGUACCGCCGAAGCUGUGGCACUCACACAUGAAAGAGCCUGGGCAGGGGACCUGCCUAAGGUUGUGUGGGUGGGUAGGGGAGCGUCCUGCGUGCGGUGAAGCCUGCUGGGAACGGUUGGUGGAGCGUGUGGGAGUGAGAAUGCAGGCAUGAGUAACGAAUGGCGGGUGAGAAUCCCGUCCGCCGAUUGACUAAGGGUUCCAGGGCUAGGUUUAUCCGCCCUGGGUUAGUCGGGUCCUAAGGCGAGGCCGACAGGCGUAGUCGAUGGACAACCAGUUGAUAUUCUGGUACCGCGUUGUGACCGCCAAAUACUGAAGCUUUUAUGCUAACCACCCGCAUCUGGACUGUUCAUUCCUUCGGGUUUGAUCAGCUUGGGUGUUGUGGGAUCCUGAUUGUUGUAGGUAAGCGUGUUAACAGGGGUGACACAGGAAGGUAGCUGCCGCGCACCGAUGGUUGUGUGUGUCUAAGGUUGUGGCCCGUCUGCCAGGUAAAUCCGGUAGGCAUGUAGGGUGAGGACUGAUGGGGGUGCCCUUUUGGGGUGUCUGGUGGUGAUCCUAAGCUGUCAAGAAAAGCCUCGACGUGAGGGCAUGACGCGCCCGUACCCUAAACCGACUCAGGUGGUCAGGUAGAGUAUACCGAGGCGUUCGAGUGAAUCAUGGUUAAGGAACUCGGCAAAAUUCCUCCGUAACUUCGGGAUAAGGAGGACCCUGUGACGUCCCCCCUUUUUCUGGGUGUGUGCGUUGUGGGGUCGCAGAGAAUAGGGAGAAGCGACUGUUUAUCAAAAACACAGGUGCGUGCGAAGUCGUAAGACGAUGUAUACGCACUGACGCCUGCCCGGUGCUGGAAGGUUAAGAGGAAGGCUCAACCACCCUCGGGUGGUGAAGGCUUGAAUUUAAGCCCCAGUAAACGGCGGUGGUAACUAUAACCAUCCUAAGGUAGCGAAAUUCCUUGUCGGGUAAGUUCCGACCUGCACGAAUGGCGUAACGACUUCUCCGCUGUCUCGACCAUGAACUCGGUGAAAUUGCAUUACGAGUAAAGAUGCUCGUUACGCGCAGAAGGACGGAAAGACCCCGGGACCUUUACUAUAGCUUGGUAUUGGUGUUCGCUUGGACUUGUGUAGGAUAGGUGGGAGACUGUGAAGCAGGGGCGCCAGCUCUUGUCGAGUCGUCGUUGAAAUACCAUUCUGGUUCACGCGGUCAUCUAACCUCGGCCCGUAAUCCGGGUUGGGGACAGUGCCUGGUGGGUAGUUUAACUGGGGCGGUUGCCUCCCAAAAAGUAACGGAGGCGCUCAAAGGUUCCCUCAGCCUGGUUGGUAAUCAGGUGGCGAGUGCAAGUGUACAAGGGAGCUUGACUGUGAGACCGACGGGUCGAGCAGGUGCGAAAGCAGGAACUAGUGAUCCGGCCAUGGCACGUGGGUGCGUGGUCGCUCAACGGAUAAAAGGUACCCCGGGGAUAACAGGCUGAUCUUGCCCAAGAGUCCAUAUCGACGGCAUGGUUUGGCACCUCGAUGUCGGCUCGUCGCAUCCUGGGGCUGGAGUUGGUCCCAAGGGUUGGGCUGUUCGCCCAUUAAAGCGGUACGCGAGCUGGGUUCAGAACGUCGUGAGACAGUUCGGUCCCUAUCCUCUGUGCGCGUAGGAAACUUGCGGAGGCCCGUCCCUAGUACGAGAGGACCGGGAUGGACGAACCUCUGGUGUGCCAGUUGUACCGCCAGGUGCACGGCUGGUUGGCUACGUUCGGAAGGGAUAACCGCUGAAAGCAUCUAAGCGGGAAGCCUGCUCCAAGAUGAGGUUUCCAACACCAGUAAUGGUGUGAAGGCCCCCGCCAGACUAGCGGGUUGAUAGGCCAGAGGUGGAAGCACAGCAAUGUGCUCGCGAGCCGACUGGUACUAAUUGGCCGACACUACACGAAA
rnacentral:rRNA from 2 species